AAGUAUACUUACAAAUUAAUCCUUUCUUCAAUCAAAGCAGUAUAAUUUUCACAAUGUUCUUCGUCAUCCCAGUCUCUCCAAAGAAAAUCAUAAAAAAACCUAAGAUAAGUCAAAUUAAGAGGAAAGUGAUCAAAAACUGAGGUAUACUUCCAAGAGAGGCACACUAUGCUCUAGUUCUUCUAAAACCUCAUUAACCAAAUUCCUAGGAAUAUUUGCAAUAUUAGAAGAAAAAGGCUCAGCAACAGAAACAGUCACUCUGAAACAAGAUGAUGAGCUCUGGCGUGGUGUACAAGUUGCCUAAAAUAAAUAUUUUAAAAUUUUA